GGAAGAAAAUGACUGUACCCGAAUAAGAAGGUCCGGCUAACUUCGUGCCAGCAGCCGCGGUAAUACGAAGGGACCUAGCGUAGUUCGGAAUUACUGGGCUUAAAGAGUUCGUAGGUGGUUAAAAAAGUUGGUGGUGAAAUCCCAGAGCUUAACUCUGGAACUGCCAUCAAAACUUUUUAGCUAGAGUAUGAUAGAGGAAAGCAGAAUUUCUAGUGUAGAGGUGAAAUUCGUAGAUAUUAGAAAGAAUACCAAUUGCGAAGGCAGCUUUCUGGAUCAUUACUGACACUGAGGAACGAAAGCAUGGGUAGCGAAGAGGAUUAGAUACCCUCGUAGUCCAUGCCGUAAACGAUGUGUGUUAGACGUUGGAAAUUUAUUUUCAGUGUCGCAGCAAAAGCAGUAAACACACCGCCUGGGGAGUACGACCGCAAGGUUAAAACUCAAAUGAAUUGACGGGGACCCGCACAAGUAGUGGAGCAUGUGGUUUAAUUCGAAGAUACGCGCAGAACCUUACCAACACUUGACAUGUUCGUCGCGACUUUAAGAGAUUAAAGUUUUCGGUUCGGCCGGACGAAACACAGGUGCUGCAUGGCUGUCGUCAGCUCGUGUCGUGAGAUGUUGGGUUAAGUCCCGCAACGAGCGCAACCCUCACUUUUAGUUGCCAUCAUUUAGUUGGGCACUCUGAAAGAACUGCCAGUGAUAAGCUGGAGGAAGGUGGGGAUGACGUCAAGUCCUCAUGGCCCUUACGUGUUGGGCUACACACGUGCUACAAUGGCAUUUACAAUAGGAAGCAAGAUGGCGACGUCAAGCAAAUCCUAAAAAGAUGCCUCAGUUCGG
rnacentral:rRNA from 1 species